rnacentral:rRNA from 1 species
UUGGAGGGCAAGUCUGGUGCCAGCAGCCGCGGUAAUUCCAGCUCCAAUAGCGUAUAUUAAAGUUGUUGCAGUUAAAAAGCUCGUAGUUGAAUUUCGGGAUCAGAGUGUCGGUCGUGCCUCGGUACGCACUGGUAUUAUUGGUUCCUACCUUCUGAAGAACCGCGAUGUCAUUAAUUUGGUGUCGUGGGGAAUCAGGACUGUUACUUUGAAAAAAUUAGUGUGUUUAAAGCAGGCUUACGCUUGAAUACAUUAGCAUGGAAUAAUGAAAUAGGACGUUUGAUUCUAUUUUGUUGGUUUCUAGGAUUGACGUAAUGAUUAAUAGGGAUAGUUGGGGGCAUUAGUAUUCAAUUGUCAGAGGUGAAAUUCUUGGAUUUAUUGAAGACUAACUACUGCGAAAGCAUUUGCCAAGGAUGUUUUCAUUAAUCAAGAACGAAAGUUAGGGGAUUGAAGACGAUCAGAUACCGUCGUAGUCUUAACCAUAAACUAUGCCGACUAGGGAUCGGAUGAUGUUAAUUUUUUAAUGACUCAUUCGGCGCCUUACGGGAAAC